rnacentral:rRNA from 1 species
CCUACGGGAGGCAGCAGUCGAGAAUCAUUCACAAUGGGGGAAACCCUGAUGGGGCGACGCCGCGUGGGGGAAUGAAGGUCUUCGGAUUGUAAACCCCUGUCAUGUGGGAGCAAAUUAAAAAGAUAGUACCACAAGAGGAAGCGACGGCUAACUCUGUGCCAGCAGCCGCGGUAAUACAGAGGCCUCAAGCGUUGGUCGUAAUCACUGGGCGUAAGGCGUGCGUAGGCUGUUUCGUAAGUCGUGUGUGAAAGGCGCGGGCUCAACCCGCUGACGGCACAUGAUACUGCGAGACUAGAGUAAUGGAGGGGGAACCGGAAUUCUCGGUGUAGCAGUGAAAUGCGUAGAUAUCGAGAGGAACACUCGUGGCGAAGGCGGGUUCCUGGACAUUAACUGACGCUGAGGCACGAAAGCCAGGGGAGCGAAAAGGAUUAGAUACCCUUGUAGUC